ACAGAGUGUACAAUUACACAACUAACAUAACACUUGCAGAACUAGUAUUGUUCGAUGCUGAAUUAAUAUAAACGAGUAUGUUUAUGACAUUCAGUAUAUAUUUCAUAAUUUCCAGUCUUAAAUCCGUCUGACCGUGUAGCUCAGUUGGUAGAGCGUCGAUAUAGUAAUUCGAAGGUCGCGGGUUCAAGACCCAGCCGCGGCAGACAACAUCUUUCUGCUUGCGCUGGGUAUGGAAAUUAUAUA